rnacentral:rRNA from 1 species
GACGAACGCUGGCGGCGCGCCUAACACAUGCAAGUCGAACGGAGCUGAGAGAAGCUUGCUUUUCUUAGCUUAGUGGCGAACGGGUGAGUAACGCGUGAGUAACCUGCCCUGGAGUGGGGGACAACAGUUGGAAACGACUGCUAAUACCGCAUAAGCCCACGAUCCGGCAUCGGAUUGAGGGAAAAGGAUUUAUUCGCUUCAGGAUGGACUCGCGUCCAAUUAGCUAGUUGGUGAGGUAACGGCCCACCAAGGCGACGAUUGGUAGCCGGACUGAGAGGUUGAACGGCCACAUUGGGACUGAGAUACGGCCCAGACUCCUACGGGAGGCAGCAGUGGGGGAUAUUGCACAAUGGGGGAAACCCUGAUGCAGCGACGCCGCGUGGAGGAAGAAGGUUUUCGGAUUGUAAACUCCUGUCGUGAGGGACGAUAAUGACGGUACCUAACAAGAAAGCACCGGCUAACUACGUG